UUGACCUCGGAUCAGGUAGGAC
rnacentral:rRNA from 1 species